rnacentral:rRNA from 1 species
GGAUUAGGCAUGCAAGUCGUACGAGAACGGUCCUUCGGGGCUUAGUAAAGUGGCGAACGGGUGAGUAAUGCAUGGACAACCUAUCCCCGAGAGAGGGACAACUCUCCGAAAGGGGGGCUAAUACCUCAUAACGUCGAGACUCUGCGGAGUUUCGACCAACAGAUGGCCUCUGAUUCAAGCUGUCGCUCAGGGAGGGGUUCAUGUCCUAUUAGCUUGUUGGUGAGGUAACGGCUCACCAAGGCUGCGAUGGGUAGCCGGCCUGAGAGGGCGUCCGGCCACACUGGGACUGAGACACUGCCCAGACUCCUACGGGAGGCUGCAGUCGAGAAUCUUCCGCAAUGCGCGCAAGCGUGACGGAGCGACGCCGCGUGGGCGAUGAAGGCCUUCGGGUCGUAAAGCCCUGUUUCCCGCUAAGAACUGUAGGUGGCGAAUACCCAUCCUACAUGACGUCAGCGGGGGAGGAAGCACCGGCUAAAUACGUGCCAGCAGCCGCGGUAAUACGUAUGGUGCGAACGUUGUUCGGAAUCACUGGGCAUAAAGAGCACGUAGGCGGCUUGGUAAGUCUGAUGUGAAAUCCCCCGGCUCAACCGGGGAACUGCACCGGAUACUGCCGAGCUAGAGUGCAGGAGGGGAGAGUGGAAUUCCUGGUGGAGCGGUGAAAUGCGUAGAUAUCAGGAGGAACGCCGGUGGCGAAAGCGACUCUCUGGUCUGCUACUGACGCUGAGGUGCGAAAGCCAGGGGAGCAAACGGGAUUAGAUACCCCGGUAGUCCUGGCCCUAAACGAUGGGCACUAAGUAGAGGGGUUUU